rnacentral:rRNA from 1 species
GUCAAGUCAUCAUGCCCCUUAUGUCCAGGGCUACACACGUGCUACAUUGGCCGGUACAAAGGGCUGCGAUACCGCGAGGUGGAGCGAAUCCCAUAAAGCCGGUCUCGGUUCGGAUUGGAGGCUGAAACUCGCCUCCAUGAAGGUGGAGUUGCUAGUAAUCACGGAUCAGCAACGCCGUGGUGAAUACGUUCCCGGGCCUU